UCUAUGAUCCUUUGGGAAUUGAUCAACUCCCAAAAACUUAGUUAAAUUCUUUCGCUAACUCACCAAAUGUUGUGUCCUGUCUGCAAACCAACUUGACUGCUACACUGUGAUAACCCAGCAAAGCGAAAAUCCAUCAAUAUGCUUCAAUCGACUCCUAAAACAAGCUUUACUUGGUGCAAAUAUGUACGUUCAGCCAGCUCGCAAUAAAGCAGGCUUGAAAUUUUCUUUUUAAUUCCGUCGACGACAAUGAAAUAUACAUAUAUAUGUAUGCUUAUGUUCCCAUGAAUAGAAAAGUUAAAAUGUAGUUAAAUAUAUGCAAAAAUAUUUAUUUUUUAAUACAAAAUAUAAAACUUUAAUAUCUAAUUAAAUGGUUUUACACAUAAAAAUGUAUUAAUUUAUUUUAUACCAUUCCAAAUCGUCAGGUUUGUGGGAAGACGGUGUACUAAUGAUAGUUU